GAUGAAGAACGUAGCGAAAUGCGAUAAGUAAUGUGAAUUGCAGAAUUCAGUGAAUCAUCGAAUCUUUGAACGCACAUUGCGCCCGCCAGUAUUCUGGCGGGCAUGCCUGUCUGAGCGUCAUUUCAACCCUCAUGCCGCUAGGGCGUGGUGUUGGGGAUCGGCCAAAGCCCGCGAGGGACGGCCGGCCCCUAAAUCUAGUGGCGGACCCGUCGUGGCCUCCUCUGCGAAGUAGUGAUAUUCCGCAUCGGAGAGCGACGAGCCCCUGCCGUUAAACCCCCAACUUUCCAAGGUUGACCUCAGAUCAGGUAGGAAUACCCGCUGAACUUAAGCAUAUCAAUAAGCGGAGGA
rnacentral:misc_RNA from 1 species